rnacentral:rRNA from 1 species
GAUGAACGCUAGCGGGAGGCCUAACACAUGCAAGCCGAGCGGUAGAGUUUCUUCGGAAACUUGAGAGCGGCGCACGGGUGCGUAACACGUGUGCAACCUACCUUUAUCUGGGGGAUAGCCUUUCGAAAGGAAGAUUAAUACCCCAUAAUAUAAUGAUUGGCAUCAAUUAUUAUUGAAAACUCCGGUGGAUAGAGAUGGGCACGCGCAAGAUUAGAUAGUUGGUGAGGUAACGGCUCACCAAGUCAAUGAUCUUUAGGGGUCCUGAGAGGGAGAUCCCCACACUGGUACUGAGACACGGACCAGACUCCUACGGGAGGCAGCAGUGAGGAAUAUUGGACAAUGGGUGAGAGCCUGAUCCAGCCAUCCCGCGUGAAGGAUGACGGUCCUAUGGAUUGUAAACUUCUUUUGUACAGGGAUAAACCUACCCUCGUGAGGGUAGCUGAAGGUACUGUACGAAUAAGCACCGGCUAACUCCGUG